GCCCUGCGAUAGGUGAGCGGAUCUGGUGUGUGACUUCUAGCGUCUCGUCGGGAUUGGAGGCGUUCCAAUUCAUUCCCAGGGUG
rnacentral:tRNA from 1 species